rnacentral:rRNA from 1 species
UGGCUCAGAACGAACGCUGGCGGCGUGCUUAACACAUGCAAGUCGAACGAGAACGGGAUAUAGCUUGCUAUAUUUGUCAGCUAAGUGGCGCACGGGUGAGUAAUGUAUAGAUAACCUGCCCUCUAGAAAGGAAUAACAGUUGGAAACGACUGCUAAUGCCCUAUAUGCCUUUAAUACAUAAGUAUGCAAGGGAAACGCUUUAGUGCUAGAGGAUGGGUCUGUAUGGUAUCAGCUUGUUGGUGAGGUAAUGGCUCGCCAAAGGCUAUGACGCCUAACUGGUUUGAGAGGAUGAUCAGUCACUUUUGCUCUGAGACACGAUCCAGACUCCUACGGGA